UGGGGAAUAUUGCACAAUGGAGGGAACUCUGAUGCAGCGACGCCGCGUGAGUGAUGAAGGACUUCGUUUCGUAAAACUCUGUUCUAUGGGAAGAAAAGGACUGUACCAUAGGAGAAAGCUCCGGCUAAAUACGUGCCAGCAGCCGCGGUAAUACGUAUGGAGCGAGCGUUGUCCGGCAUUAUUGGGCGUAAAGGGUGCGCAGGCGGCUUUACAAGUUGGAUGUGAAAUAUUGUGGCUCAACCACAAACGUGCAUCCAAAACUGCAAAGCUUGAGUUAAGGAGAGGUAAGUGGAAUUCCUGGUGUAGCGGUGGAAUGCGUAGAUAUCAGGAGGAAUACCGGUGGCGAAGGCGACUUACUGGACUUAAACUGACGCUCAGGCACGAAAGCGUGGGGAGCAAACAGG
rnacentral:rRNA from 1 species